GACGUAGGGAGCAAGCGUUGUCCGGAAUCAUUGGGCGUAAAGCGCGCGUAGGCGGCCCUGUAAGUCCGUUGUGAAAGUCAAAGGCUCAACCUUUGAAAGCCGAUGGAUACUGCAGGGCUAGAGUCCGGAAGAGGCGAGUGGAAUUCCUGGUGUAGCGGUGGAAUGCGCAGAUAUCAGGAGGAACACCAAUAGCGAAGGCAGCUCGCUGGGACGGUACUGACGCUAAGGCGCGAAAGCGUGGGGAGCGAACAGG
rnacentral:rRNA from 1 species